CCUACGGGAGGCAGCAGUGAGGAAUAUUGGUCAAUGGACGAGAGUCUGAACCAGCCAAGUAGCGUGAAGGAUGACUGCCCUAUGGGUUGUAAACUUCUUUUAUAUGGGAAUAAAACGUUCCACGUGUGGGAUUUUGUAUGUACCAUAUGAAUAAGGAUCGGCUAACUCCGUGCCAGCAGCCGCGGUAAUACGGAGGAUCCGAGCGUUAUCCGGAUUUAUUGGGUUUAAAGGGAGCGUAGGUGGAUUGUUAAGUCAGUUGUGAAAGUUUGCGGCUCAACCGUAAAAUUGCAGUUGAAACUGGCAGUCUUGAGUACAGUAGAGGUGGGCGGAAUUCGUGGUGUAGCGGUGAAAUGCUUAGAUAUCACGAAGAACUCCGAUUGCGAAGGCAGUUCACUGGACUGCAACUGACACAGAGGCUCGAAAGUGUGGGUAUCAAACAGGAUUAGAUACCCCUGUAGUC
rnacentral:rRNA from 1 species